AAACUGAGGAUAAUACCGGAUAGGCAAUUAUUCCUGCAAUGGUUUUUUGUUUAAAUGUUUUUUCGCCUAAGGAUGAGUCUGCGGCCGAUUAGGUAGUUGGUUAGGUAAUGGCUUACCAAGCCGUUGAUCGGUACGGGUUGUGAGAGCAAGAGCCCGGAGAUGGAACCUGAGACAAGGUUCCAGGCCCUACGGGGUGCAGCAGGCGCGAAACCUCCGCAAUGUGAGAAAUCGCGACGGGGGGAUCCCAAGUGCCAUUCUUAACGGGAUGGCUUUUCAUUAGUGUAAAGAGCUUUUGGAAUAAGAGCUGGGCAAGACCGGUGCCAGCCGCCGCGGUAACACCGGCAGCUCUAGUGGUAACAAUUUUUAUUGGGCCUAAAGCGUCCGUAGCCGGUCUAAUAAGUCUCUGGUGAAAUCCUGUAGCUUAACUGUGGGAAUUGCUGGAGAUACUAUUAGACUUGAGACCGGGAGAGGUUAGAGGUACUCCCAGGGUAGAGGUGAAAUUCUGUAAUCCUGNGAGGACCGC
rnacentral:rRNA from 1 species